AAGAAAGUAAAUAAGAGCACACGGGGAAUGCCUUGGCUCUCAGAGGCGAUGAAGGACGCGAUAAGCUGCGAUAAGCUACGGGUAUUGGCACAUACGAAUUGAUCCGUAGAUUUCCGAAUGGGGAAACCUAACUAACUGAAGGUUAGUUGCAAUAGCGCAAACCUGCCGAACUGAAACAUCUAAGUAAGCAGAGGAAGAGAAAACAAUAGUGAUUUCCAAAGUAGUGGCGAGCGAAAUGGAAGAAGCCCAAACCUAUAUUGUUAAGGCAAUAUAGGGGUUGUAGGACUACAACAUGAAUAUUAAAGUGAAGUUGAACAGGUUGGGAAGCCUGGCCAUAGCGCAUGAUAGCUGCGUAAACGUAAGCGAUAAUAGGA
rnacentral:ncRNA from 1 species